rnacentral:rRNA from 1 species
UACGAAGGGUGCAAGCGUUACUCGGAAUCACUGGGCGUAAAGCGUGCGUAGGUGGUGAGUUAAGUCUGAUGUGAAAUCCCCGGGCUCAACCUGGGAAUGGCAUUGGAUACUGGCUCGCUGGAGUGCGGUAGAGGGCGGUGGAAUUCCCGGUGUAGCAGUGAAAUGCGUAGAGAUCGGGAGGAACAUCUGUGGCGAAGGCGGCCACCUGGACCAGCACUGACACUGAGGCACGAAAGCGUGGGGAGCAAACAGG